UAUACUCUCUGGUCCGUAUUUCAUUCUCUCUCUUCUUACUUCACUGUGAUGUUUGCUUUGAUAUUUUUUCUUCCCAAUUUUCAUGCUAUUUCUCUCUUCAAAUCUUUGAGAUUCAGCCUAACUUUGAUGAAUAUAGGAUAGGAUUUAUCAUCAAAUGGGUAAAGACACUUUAAGAAGAAAGUCAAUUUAUCUUCAUAUUGAUCAUUCUAGGGCUACCAUUCAAGACUUGAGAAGUGUAUGUUUGGGGACGGUGAGUGCUAGCAUCUUUAACAAUGGAGAGAGGUAUUUUGGCGAGCAGCUCAGAGGGAGUUUAUACAACAAUCUCUGGGUUAAUCAGUUGUUAAGAAGUUUGAAACCGGAGAAGGAGGAGAGCAAGAUCAAACCUGAGGUUGCUUUCUCUGUUAUCGCUAUAGAGAAUGACAGAGACUCUGGUAAAAUUUAAUUAUUUCUCUUCUAUAAGACAUGUUUGCUUCAACUAAUGUCACGUUAGUGUGUAAAUAUGAUGGAAAUAAGUUGAUAUGUGUGAUAUGAACUAUAUAUUGUGAAUGGAAGUGGAUGCAACAUUUAAGCUUGAUAGGUCCAGUACCUAAGAUUUUUAGCAUUGAAACACACUUGUGAAAUUAUGGCCCUGUCAUAAGGGAACUGCUAAUUUCUUAAAUCAUUUGCAGUCGGGUAAAUAUUUCUCACCCCGAUAGUCAUCGGGAUCCACAAACUCUGUCAAAGUCAAAGAAAAGAGAUAGGGUUCAACCUUGAAUCGAUCAGCUGGUUAGGCAAUUUGACUAUUGCAAGCUCUUGCUACCCGAUGAUUUUCUGCAAAGAGAAUUUCCUACUAGAGGGCAUAACAUAGUAUAGUUGUCCAAAUCAUCUCUUGCUCUUAUCAUUUGAGAUGCAAGCUUUAAUUUGCAUGUUAUGCAACUAUUUAAGAAUAAGCACCUGAGAAAUCACCUGUUAUGUCAAGCUAGAAGCUAUUAAUAGUGCAACAUAUUUAUUUAAAAUAUAUUUUCUAUCCAUUGCUAAGAAGUUUGAGGUUCUUGGAGCCAUGAACACUAACGUCUGAGAUGUUGAGAGUUUCUAAAUAAUGAUCUGUCAAUGUUUUAAAUAGGUUUUUGUGUAUAUCUUUUCUCCUAGCAUAUUUUGCUAUCACCUUUAUCAUGCUUCUUUAGUUUCUUUAUGAGGCUCUAUAUACAAAUAUAUAAUGUGUAGUUUGUAAUUUUUCAGCUUUGUCUAGAUUGAUUAUUUUUUAGAACAACAAGACUCUCGGAAUUUUUUUUUACAACUCAACACGGUAUUUAAAUCCACCAUCUUUAAUUUGUUUAGAAGUAUGAAUUAUAGUGAUUAAAAUAGUAUGUUAAAUGGUCUCUUAUGUAUAGUUAAUGCUAAGUCAAGUUGAGAGUGAUAUUAGAUUUAUAGUAGUUAUUACUAAUAGUUGGAAGAACUUCUCAUUUUUCGUAAUAAAUUAUAGUAAAAUUUAUCCCCUUUAUGAGCCUAUCAAUGUGUCAGCUAACCUACUUGAGAGAGUUUUUUUUGUUUUUUUGUUUUUGAUCAACUAAAUAUUUUGUGAUGUUGAGAAUGAUAUUGGUACUUCAUGGUUUUUGUUGAUAAGAGGCAAUGGCUUUUUAGUGUAUCUUUCUUAGUAUUGUAAUUGAAUUUGGUAAAAGCCAAAAGUUGAUUUUUACUUUGGUGGGUUUGAGCAGGACUGAGGACUUUUUUGCGGCAUUGGAUAAGAAGUAAAGAAAAUCAAGAUGUAUUUAUUUCAUUGUUUCAGUCUUUUUUUGUGCAAAUUGGUCGAAAAAACUCAAUAUUUGUUUGUUUCCUUGUCUUUUGAAUUGAUAAACUUGAGCCUUGAAAUAUAAUGCAACUUAGACUUUCUUGUUUCCUUACAAUUCUGACUGUUUUUAUGUGUUCAUUAUUUUGGAUUUUUUAGUUACUGGAAACAACACAUUACUAGGUUCUUAGAGUAAUAAGGAUCAUGAUCAAUCAUUCGAUACUAGGGAGGAUGAACUAGAGAAAAUGUGUGCUACUUAUUUAAGGUUUUUGCUGCCUCAGUGACCGAUUUACAGGUACCUCCAGAUCUUCUACGUUGUAGUUAUUGGGAUGCAGAGGAUUGACUACUAAGCUUAGGAAUCUAGCUCCAGCUUAUUGUAAAUAUUGAAUUAGACUAUGUUUGUGUGGUAUUUGAAGAUACAAAUAAACCUUGUAUGUUUAGGGGUAUUAUGUUUAUAACAAUAUUUGAUGUUGGUUCAAUUGAACAAUUAAUUUUGGAUA